rnacentral:rRNA from 1 species
UAGUCCAUGCCGUAAACGAUGAGCACUAGGUGUUGCGGGUAUUGACCCCUGCAGUGCCGCAGCUAACGUAUUAAGUGCUCCGCCUGGGAAGUACGGCCGCAAGGUUAAAACUCAAAGGAAUUGACGGGGGCCCGCACAAGCGGUGGAGCAUGUGGUUUAAUUCGAUGCAACGCGAAGAACCUUACCUGGACUUAACAUCCCCAGAACAUUGUAGAGAUACAGUUUUGUCUUCGGACACUGGGUGAUAGGUGCUGCAUGGCUGUCGUCAGCUCGUAUCGUGAGAUGUCGGGUUAAGUCCCUUAACGAGCGCAACCCUUAUCCUUAGUUGCUACCAUUCAGUUGGGCACUCUAUGGAGACCGCCGGUGUUAAACCGGAGGAAGGCGGGGAUGACGUCAAGUCCUCAUGGCCCUUAUGUCCAGGGCUACACACGUGCUACAAUGGCCGGUACAGAGGGUUGCCAACCCGCAAGGGGGAGCGUAAUCCCACAAAGCCGGUCUCAGUCCGGA